rnacentral:rRNA from 1 species
AUGCUUGCGUUGCUCCCUCGCACACUGAAGAAAUCGAAGAAUUCGUUGAUUUGGGAUUGCUUGCCAAUGUACUACUUCGGUGACACAUUUUUCCUGCUUAUUUUGCAGGUUUCUGCAGCGCUUGAUGCUCUUGUCGACAUUGCCGAUGGAAGAAUAGAUAUCCACGUCCUCAUGGCUCUUGCAGCAUUUGCUUCUGUGUUUAUGAGGAACUCAUUGGAGGGUGGCCUGCUUCUUGCAAUGUUCAGCUUAGCUUAUAUCGCCGAAGAAUACUUUACGAGGAAGUCAAUGGUUGAUGUGAGAGAACUGAAGGAAAACCAUCCAGAAUUUGCACUUUUAUUAGAAACGAGUGGAGAUAAGUCAACACGGUUUUCUAAUUUAAGUCAUACCAAGGUUCCUGUGCAGGACCUUACAGUGGGUUCUCAUAUUUUGGUCAGAGCUGGUGAGGCUGUGCCUAUUGAUGGAGAAGUUUACCAAGGUUCAUCGACAGUCACAAUCGAACACCUCACUGGUGAAACGAAGCCUCUUGAAAGGACGGUGGGGGACGCUAUACCAGGUGGUGCUAGGAACCUGGAAGGAAUGAUGAUAGUACAGGUGACCAAAUCAUGGGAGGAUUCAACACUCAACAGAAUUGUGCAGUUGACUGAAGAGGGCAAGAUAAACAAGCCAAAGCUGCAAAGAUGGCUUGACGAAUUUGGAGAGCACUAUAGCAGAGCUGUUGUUGUACUGUCUUUAAUGGUUGCACUACUGGGACCAUUACUCUUUAAGUGGCCUUUUUUUGGUAACUCAGUUUGUAGGGGUUCAAUUUACCGUGGGUUGGGGCUUAUGGUGGCUGCAUCUCCAUGUGCAUUGGCGGCUGCUCCCUUAGCAUAUGCCACUGCUAUCAGUUCUCGUACAAGGAAGGGAAUUUUGUUGAAAGGCGGGCAUGUAUUAGAUGCUCUUUCGGCUUGUCAGUCUAUUGCAUUUGACAAGACAGGCACAUUAACAACCGGGAAGCUUAUGUGCAAAGCAAUUGAGCCCAUUCAUGGACAUUUGAAUGUGAGAAAUAGUCUUAACGUUUCUUCUUGCUGUACUCCGAGCUGUGAAAGUGAAGCUCUAGCAGUUGCCGCAGCCAUGGAGAAAGGAACAACCCAUCCUAUUGGGAGGGCAGUGUUACAUCACUCUGUUGGGAAGGACAAGGACCUCCCAAAAGUUCUUCUACAAAGCUUCGAGUCCUUACCUGGUAGAGGAGUUUUUGCUACUUUAAGCAUCACAAAGGCAUCAAACAAUGAAAACAAACUCUCUACGGCCGCUAUCGGUUCUGUGGAAUAUAUUUCUUCGCUAUACAGAUCAAAUGGUGAAUGUGAGCAGGUACAAGAGGCAAUAAAAAGUUCUGCAUAUGGUCCUGAAUUUGUCCAAGCUGCUCUAUUAAUGGAUAAAAAGAUGACCCUUUUCCACUUCGAGGAUGAACCCCGUCCUGGUGCCUGUGAAGUUAUAUCCACCUUACGAGAGAAAGCAAAACUUCGCAUCAUGAUGCUCACUGGAGAUCAUGAAUCAAGUGCUCUGAGAGUUGCUAAAGCCGUUUGUAUUGAUGAAGUGCACUGCUGUUUGAAGCCAGAGGACAAACUGAAUAAAGUAAAAGCAGUUUCAAGGCGAGGUGGGAGUUUAAUAAUGGUCGGCGAUGGUAUAAAUGACGCGCUCUUGCAGCUGCAACUGUUGGCGUCGUUCUAG